CCUAGAGCCAUUGACAACUCCCCUCGAGUAAAAAUGCAAUCACUUGAGUGGAUAUGCCUCCAUGCAUGCUGUAAAUCUCGCAAAGCAAUAUAACGUUCAAUGAUGGACUUCAUACUGAAUCAGGGCAGGGAGUUCAGAAAAAUCAGGGUUUCUUCUUUAUGGCGAUGCAACUUCGAAGUAAGUAAUGACACUAGUCAGGUGUAAUUUAAAAGCAAAAGCAGGACAAAUGCUCUCAAUUGAAAGAAAAUUCAAGCACAUCUAUAGCUAACUGAUGCCUUUCCUCUA